GAGAAGUAGUUGCACUUUCUCUCACUUCUCCACCGAGAAGCAGUUGCGCUCUUUCUCACCUCUCCACCGAGCGGAGUUGCGCUCUCUCUCACUUCUCCACCGAGAGGGAGUCGCCGUUCUCUGCCCUCUCAUAGAACGGUCGUUGCAGUCUCUUUGACCUCUCCACUCAGUGGAAGUUGCGGUCUCUCUCACCUCUCCACCGAGAAGCAGUUGCGCUUUCUCUCACUUCUUCACCGAGCAAUUGCGCUCUCUCUCACUUCUCCACCGAGAGGGAGUUGCCGUUCUCUGCCCUCUCAUAGAGCGGUCGUUGCAGUCUCUUUGACCUCUCCACUCAGUGGAAGUUGCGCUCUCUCUCACCUCUUCACCGAGAGCAGUUGCGCUCUCUCUCACCUCUCCACCCAGAGGCAGAUGCCGUUCUCUGACCUCUCCAAAGAGCCGCAGUUGCGUUCCCUUGCGUUCCCUUACCUCCCCACCAAGAGGCCGUUGCGUUCUCUGACCUCUCUCCUCUUCUCUCUGCCUCCACUUUAUUUCAUUCCCAGUCCACAGGUAACACCGCGUCGGUAAAGGCUGCCCCACAACUCCCUCAAGUGUCACAAUCCACAGCUGCUGAGGCUCUCGGAGAAUUCACCUUGCCCUCUCACCCAGAUAUUAACCCAUCUUGGAGUUCCGGAUCCCUUUGAAGACCCCCGGCUCGGUGUUCCAGGCUGCCUACUGUGUAUUGUCUUCGUGUCCUAGGUGCCAUGGCUUGGGAACCUGCGUGGGCUCGGCAUCUGUGGCCUGGUGUCCUGCAUUUGCCUCGUGACCUCGAAAAGCUCGCCUAAAGGCGUUUCCCCUACAGAAAGGUCACUUGGUGCCCCCCAUCUGGGGCUUCCAGAUUACUUUGGAGACACCUGUCUUGUGGUUCUAGCCAGAGAAGCGAAGCCCACAGAAGGCUGGAGGCUUGAAUACAAGCCCUUGGACUUAUCCCAUCUCACUCCACCUUGUUGGCCGGCUCUCCUCCUCAAGUUUCUCCACUAAGACCAAGGCCAGACUGAAAGGCUCUCCAGAAAGCUGUCCAGCCCCAGGAAAGAGAUAAUAAAGAAUUUAGGCUUUAACCCCUGGCUACUUUUCUCGUGAUUACUGAACUGAACAAAGUCUGCCUGAAAGACCCCCAAGAAGCUGAAACAAAGAACAUGACAGAUAAAUACGAUCUGACAUUUACAUAUUGACUAUUGUGUGAAUGUCACAGUUUUAAGGGCUGUAUUAUUAAUUACUAAUAACUAGCAUUUAUGGAACCUA